UACGAAGGGGGCUAGCGUUGCUCGGAAUGACUGGGCGUAAAGGGCGCGUAGGCGGUUUGUACAGUCAGGUGUGAAAUUCCCGGGCUCAACCUGGGGGCUGCACUUGAUACGUAGGAACCGGAGUGGGGAAGAGGGUCGUGGAAUUCCCAGUGUAGAGGUGAAAUUCGUAGAUAUUGGGAAGAACACCGGCGGCGAAGGCGGCACUCUGAGCCGGUACUGACGCUGAGGAGCGAAAGCGUGGGGAGCAAACAGG
rnacentral:rRNA from 1 species